UCCGUCUGUUGGUUUAUUCCUCAAAUACCCGCAACAGUUGGGGCUGGUACAAGAGCCCAGAACUCCAUCAGAUCUUCAUCUGAGUAUCAAGAACCGGAGCACUUUUGUCUUCAGGGCUGACUUCCUGGGGGUCAGCUGAGCCUAUUAGACGUCAGAACUUCCAGCCAACCUGUCAGCAUCAUCCAGGUUAGCAGUCCAGAGUUUUGUUUUGUUUUUCCCUGUCUGCAAUCCCAGAAAGAAUUGUCUAAUUCCUGGGACUCUUCACUCUGGUCUGUAAUCCUCAGUCUAAAAUAAUAAUGAUCUUGUAAUUAAGUUUUUAAAAAUUGCCCAAUCUUUGCUCUCUUUUAAUUUGAAGAAUUGUUUGAAGAAAUAGAGAUUUUUAAGUGACUGGCA